rnacentral:rRNA from 1 species
UUUUGCGGUAUGGGAUGGGGUCGCGUCCUAUCAGCUUGAUGGCGGGGUAACGGCCCACCAUGGCUUCGACGGGUAGCCGGCCUGAGAGGGCGACCGGCCACAUUGGGACUGAGAUACGGCCCAGACUCCUACGGGAGGCAGCAGUGGGGAAUAUUGCACAAUGGGCGCAAGCCUGAUGCAGCGACGCCGCGUGCGGGAUGACGGCCUUCGGGUUGUAAACCGCUUUUGACUGGGAGCAAGCCCUUCGGGGUGAGUGUACCUUUCGAAUAAGCACCGGCUAACUACGUGCCAGCAGCCGCGGUAAUACGUAGGGUGCAAGCGUUAUCCGGAAUUAUUGGGCGUAAAGGGCUCGUAGGCGGUUCGUCGCGUCCGGUGUGAAAGUCCAUCGCUUAACGGUGGAUCCGCGCCGGGUACGGGCGGGCUUGAGUGCGGUAGGGGAGACUGGAAUUCCCGGUGUAACGGUGGAAUGUGUAGAUAUCGGGAAGAACACCAAUGGCGAAGGCAGGUCUCUGGGCCGUCACUGACGCUGAGGAGCGAAAGCGUGGGGAGCGAACAGGAUUAGAUACCCUGGUAGUCCACGCCGUAAACGGUGGAUGCUGGAUGUGGGGACCAUUCCACGGUCUCCGUGUCGGAGCCAACGCGUUAAGCAUCCCGCCUGGGGAGUACGGCCGCAAGGCUAAAACUCAAAGAAAUUGACGGGGGCCCGCACAAGCGGCGGAGCAUGCGGAUUAAUUCGAUGCAACGCGAAGAACCUUACCUGGGCUUGACAUGUUCCCGACAGCCCCAGAGAUGGGGCCUCCCUUCGGGGCGGGUUCACAGGUGGUGCAUGGUCGUCGUCAGCUCGUGUCGUGAGAUGUUGGGUUAAGUCCCGCAACGAGCGCAACCCUCGCCCUGUGUUGCCAGCACGUCGUGGUGGGAACUCACGGGGGACCGCCGGGGUCAACUCGGAGGAAGGUGGGGAUGACGUCAGAUCAUCAUGCCCCUUACGUCCAGGGCUUCACGCAUGCUACAAUGGCCGGUACAACGGGAUGCGACCUCGUGAGGNGGAGCGGAUCCCUUAAAACCGGUCUCAGUUCGGAUUGGAGUCUGCAACCCGACUCCNNNAAGGCGGAGUCNCUAGUAAUCGCGGAUCAGC